UACAGAGGGUGCAAGCGUUGUUCGGAAUUAUUGGGCGUAAAGCGCGUGUAGGCGGCUUGGCAAGUCGGGUGUGAAAGCCCUCAGCUCAACUGAGGAAGUGCGCCCGAAACUGCUGAGCUUGAGUGCCGGAGAGGGUGGCGGAAUUCCCCAAGUAGAGGUGAAAUUCGUAGAUAUGGGGAGGAACACCGGUGGCGAAGGCGGCCACCUGGACGGUAACUGACGCUGAGGAGCGAAAGCGUGGGGAGCGAACAGG
rnacentral:rRNA from 1 species